rnacentral:rRNA from 1 species
AUGAACGCUGGCGGCGUGCUUAACACAUGCAAGUCGAGCGAAGCGCUUAGGAAAGAUUCUUCGGAUGAUUUCCUAUUUGACUGAGCGGCGGACGGGUGAGUAACGCGUGGGUAACCUGCCUCAUACAGGGGGAUAACAGUUAGAAAUGACUGCUAAUACCGCAUAAGACCACAGCACCGCAUGGUGCAGGGGUAAAAACUCCGGUGGUAUGAGAUGGACCCGCGUCUGAUUAGUUAGUUGGUGGGGUAACGGCCUACCAAGGCGACGAUCAGUAGCCGACCUGAGAGGGUGACCGGCCACAUUGGGACUGAGACACGGCCCAAACUCCUACGGGAGGCAGCAGUGGGGAAUAUUGCACAAUGGGGGAAACCCUGAUGCAGCGACGCCGCGUGAGCGAAGAAGUAUUUCGGUAUGUAAAGCUCUAUCAGCAGGGAAGAAAAUGACGGUACCUGACUAAGAAGCCCCGGCUAACUACGUGCCAGCAGCCGCGGUAAUACGUAGGGGGCAAGCGUUAUCCGGAUUUACUGGGUGUAAAGGGAGCGUAGACGGAGCAGCAAGUCUGAUGUGAAAACCCGGGGCUCAACCCCGGGACUGCAUUGGAAACUGUUGAUCUGGAGUGCCGGAGAGGUAAGCGGAAUUCCUAGUGUAGCGGUGAAAUGCGUAGAUAUUAGGAGGAACACCAGUGGCGAAGGCGGCUUACUGGACGGUAACUGACGUUGAGGCUCGAAAGCGUGGGGAGCAAACAGGAUUAGAUACCCUGGUAGUCCACGCCGUAAACGAUGAGAACUAGGUGUUGGGGGAAUAACUCAGUGCCGCAGUUAACGCAAUAAGUUCUCCGCCUGGGGAGUAUGCACGCAAGUGUGAAACUCAAAGGAAUUGACGGGGGCCCGCACAAGCGGUGGAGUAUGUGGUUUAAUUCGAAGCAACGCGAAGAACCUUACCUGCUCUUGACAUCCCGGUGACGGCAGAGUAAUGUCUGCUUUUCUUCGGAACACCGGUGACAGGUGGUGCAUGGUUGUCGUCAGCUCGUGUCGUGAGAUGUUGGGUUAAGUCCCGCAACGAGCGCAACCCCUAUCUUCAGUAGCCAGCGGUAAGGCCGGGCACUCUGGAGAGACUGCCAGGGAUAACCUGGAGGAAGGUGGGGAUGACGUCAAAUCAUCAUGCCCCUUAUGAGCAGGGCUACACACGUGCUACAAUGGCGUAAACAAAGGGAAGCGAACCCGCGAGGGUGGGCAAAUCCCAAAAAUAACGUCUCAGUUCGGAUUGUAGUCUGCAACUCGACUACAUGAAGCUGGAAUCGCUAGUAAUCGCGAAUCAGAAUGUCGCGGUGAAUACGUUCCCGGGUCUUGUACACACCGCCCGUCACACCAUGGGAGUCAGUAACGCCCGAAGUCAGUGACCCAACCGUAAGGAGGGAGCUGCCGAAGGUGGGACCGAUAACUGGGGUG